rnacentral:rRNA from 1 species
UCCUACGGGAGGCAGCAGUGGGGAAUAUUGCACAAUGGGCGAAAGCCUGAUGCAGCAACGCCGCGUGAGCGAUGAAGGCCUUUGGGUCGUAAAGCUCUGUCCUUGGGGAAGAAAAAAAUGACGGUACCCUUGGAGGAAGCCCCGGCUAACUACGUGCCAGCAGCCGCGGUAAUACGUAGGGGGCAAGCGUUAUCCGGAAUUAUUGGGCGUAAAGAGUGCGUAGGUGGUUUUGUAAGCGCGGGGUGAAAGGCAAUAGCUCAACUAUUGUAAGCCCUGCGAACUGUGAGACUUGAGUGCAGGAGAGGAAAGCGGAAUUCCUAGUGUAGCGGUGAAAUGCGUAGAUAUUAGGAGGAACACCAGUGGCGAAGGCGGCUUUCUGGACUGUAACUGACACUGAGGCACGAAAGCGUGGGGAGCAAACAGGAUUAGAUACCCCGGUAGA